rnacentral:lncRNA from 1 species
GUCAACAUUAACAAAUGCUUGGCAUAGACUUUGGGCUACAAUUAUGUUUGAAAGUGACCUAGCUGAUGAAGAUUUUGAAAGAGUUCAUGACUCUAAUGAGAAAACAAUGGUAGCAUAAUUCAUUACCUAUGCCAAAAGUUUAUCAGCCAAAAGUGUAAAUAAGUUAGAAGAAGCUAACAUUGAAGAAAGGGUUAACAUUGAUAAUGAUGAACCCAUUGUGCAUCCUAAGAGUGAUGGGGAAAUUGCUGAGAUGGUGUUAAAUGCAGAUCAAUAUGAAGAUGGUAGUAGUAAUGAUGAUGACAUUAUGAAUUUGGGUGAAAAAAAUCUCCAUAGAUCAUAUGGUGAAAAUGUGUGACCGAUUAAUUGCUGGCCUUGAACGAUGUACAUUUAUCAGUGAGCAAGAGCUGAUGACAAUUUACUCAAUUAAAGAGAAACUGCUUAGACAGAAACCUGUGUUAAGGAAGCAGGUGAAACUGGGAAAAGUCUUUAAUAAAGCUCUCUGUGGUAAUGCCGCUUCAUCUCUUGACAAUCCUGUUUCUGGCUCAUCAGAUGUCCAGCUCCAACCUGGUUUCAUAGGCAGUGGUAAUACUGGAACAACCUCUUCUCCAAGAUUCUCAGGCAAUCAAAGGCCAUGGAAGAGCCAGCAUGUGGGGAAACUUCUUUAUUCUGCUAUCCAAAUAUAAAAUAUAUACAGAAGUAGCUCCUUUGUCCCUUAACCUUAGUAAGCAAAUUUGAUUAAGCAUUUGAACGCUAUAGAGGUGCAAGGUGGGAGAAAUUCUGCCUCUGCUACUUGGCAGCUCUAUGAUAUUGG